CUCCUUGCUGCUGCUAUGUAAAGGACGUUUUUGACUCCACUUCUGCCACAAUUGUAAAUUUCCCGAGGCCUUCCCAACCAUGCUGAACUGAUGGAAUACAGAAAAUGUCAAAGCAAAAAUGCAUUACAAAUGUAUGAAUCGACAUCACUGAAGGAAAUGAAGGAAAAAGUUCUGACCUACGUGUCUUUGGAAAUAAGUGGAAACUUUUGAAAUAUUAAUAACUUCACAGCAACAUCUAAACUCAUGUUUAAGUACCUGAGUACAGAACCUAUCCAAGUGGACAAAUAAUCUUAACUAUCACAGGUAAUGAAGGCUGGAAAUUCCAAGAGCAUGGCUCCUGCAUCUGGUGAGGGGUUCUAUGUUGCAUCAUCCCAUGGCCAGUGGCAGAAGAGCAAGAGAGAAUCAACUAGAGAGAGAGCAAGAAAAAAAGGGACAAACUCAUCCUUUUAUGAGGAGCACACACCAAUGUGUCAAGAAGAUCACCUACAUAUGAGAUAGAAUUGAAAAAAAUAAUGGACUAAUUGGAACUUGCUGAGGUAGUUGAAAGAAUCAUGACUGAUACAGAAGUUAACAACUUUAGAAAUGGAUUGAGCAGGAAACAACUUGAGAACACAUGCUAGUACAUAAAAAUGUGACAGAUGGAAAAUAUCAGAUUUCCAAAUUCAUAGUAUUGAUAUUUGUAAAAUGCUAUCUAUGGAAUAGAAAAAGAGAAGGAUACAGAUGCCCAGGAAUAACUGUGAAAAGCUGAGGAAGAUAGAAUUGAGAUGAGAACUGAAGAACUGAUAAGAUUUGAGGAUUGGCUUGGGAUCAUAUACACUAUGUAGUUUAGAAUGCAUUCUACAUUUUUCUCCCAGUCAGAAUUUAUAUAAAUAAUGUGGAUAUAACCCAAAUAUUGCAAUUAGAUUUAUUAAAUCAAUGUUUGCAUGUAAUGUAAGAAUUGCCCUCAGUUGUGAUAUAGAGAUAUAGAAAUUGUUUUUCCAUUGUGUGCUCUCCAAUUUAGUCAGUCAUGUAACAAAAAGGAUUUGUGUAUGUAAAAUUCAAUUAUUUCUCAUGAAAGGGAGAACCAUGUAUUUUUUAUAUUGAAAUGUGUAGCUCAGAACAUAAAAUAUCUGCAUGAUAUCGAAUGAAAAGCACCAGAAAUAAUUCUAAGUUCAGUGUUAUAAACUGAAUAUUUUUAUGCCUCCCUCUUUCCCUACCAAAUUCAUAUGUUGAAUUUCUAACCCUCAAUGGGAUGGCAUUAGGAGGUGGGACUUUUGGGAGCUGAUUGGGUCAUGAAGGUGGAACCCUCAGAAAUGGUAUUAUUGUCCUUAUAAAAACAACUUUAGAGAAAUCUCUUACCGUUUUAAUGCCAUAUGAGUAUAUAAGGAAUAUAAGGAGAAGACAGCAACAGUCUGCAACCUGGAAGAAGGUCCUCAGUAGAACACAUCUAUGCGAACACCUUGAUCUUGUACUUCCUGUAUCCCUAACUUUGAGAAACACAUUUCUCUUUUGUAUUUGCCUCCUAGUCCAAGGUACUUUGUUAAAACGACCCAAAGUAAGACAAGUAUUUUUUAACAUUAGAAGUUAUUUUAAGAACUAUGGUUGAUAAAGUUGUUUUUGUUUUCCCUUACAUAUCUAAUUUUCUUCCUAUAUUCAGUCAUUUCAUAUUGUUUUUCAGUCUCUAGCAUUUUCAACAACAUAAAUGGGAAAACAAAGUAAGAUUACACCAAAGAUCUCAAAAGUAAAAUCCAAAAAGAAAAGGGGAAAACUUUUUCAAUUAUGGCUUCUCAGACACACGAUUGACAUAAGUAUCUCAAAAUUCCUGACAAGAAAGUUAUGUUUGUCCACAGCUCUCGUGAGAACAUUGUAUUAGUAAAGCAGACGUUGACAUUUAUGUUUUAGUUCUCACUUCUCUAAUAAUUAAAACUCUGAGUUUCUACUGCAAGUAAUAAAUGAAGUUAAUUUAAAAAAUACAUAAACAAUAGUUCUGAAUUUUUCUCUGAUAAUAAGUAAUAUUGCUAUAUAGAGAUUCUGGUUGACAGGCAUCUCUGUUAUUUCUCAUUAUAGUCACAGCGAUGUUUCACUUUUGUUUAUCCCCAGUGAUAAUUCCUUUGCCUUACAUACUUCAUUAAUCUAUCUAUCUAUCUAUCCAUCCAUCCAUCUAUCCAUUGAUCUAUCUAUUCAUCAAUCAGCAUUUUUUAAACACCAAGCUAUGUCAGGUGGUGAUAUUUGUUCCCAAAGAAUACUGUGCAUGUAUCUGUCUCAUUACUAUACUAUAUUAAAAUAUAUCUAUUUACAUUUUAUGCCC